rnacentral:SRP_RNA from 16 species
AGCUGUCGUGGCGCAACGGGAGACGGGCUGCUCUAACCCGCCGUCCACCCAUGCAGUUCUGCUGAGUCAGAACGCACUCGCCCGGUGCCUGGUUCGAAUCCGCGAGUCGCGACCUUGUUAAAGAGGUUCUCCCGCCCUCACGCGAGUAGUCCGUGAAUUGGCGGCGGCGCGCUAAGCAAUGGAGGCGACCCUUGAGGGAAGCAAUUCUGCAGAGACUCCUCCACUCGCGGAUGGCGGCACCAGAUCACACCGGCGGUGCAUCGUGGGUGGGCGACGGGAUCUGGCCUGUCGACUUUUUU